UAUCGACGAGUUUGAUCCUGGCUCAGAUUGAACGCUGGCGGCAUGCUUUACACAUGCAAGUCGAACGGUAACGGGGACUUCGGUCUGCCGACGAGUGGCGAACGGGUGAGUAAUAUAUCGGAACGUGCCCAGUAAUGGGGGAUAGCUCGGCGAAAGCCGGAUUAAUACCGCAUACGCCCUGAGGGGGAAAGUGGGGGAUCUUCGGACCUCACGUUAUUGGAGCGGCCGAUAUCAGAUUAGCUAGUUGGUGGGGUAAAGGCCUACCAAGGCGACGAUCUGUAGCUGGUCUGAGAGGAUGAUCAGCCACACUGGGACUGAGACACGGCCCAGACUCCUACGGGAGGCAGCAGUGGGGAAUUUUGGACAAUGGGCGAAAGCCUGAUCCAGCCAUGCCGCGUGAGUGAAGAAGGCCUUCGGGUUGUAAAGCUCUUUCAGGUGGAAAGAAAGCGGAUGGGUUAAUACCCUGUCCGGAUGACGGUACCACCAGAAGAAGCACCGGCUAACUACGUG
rnacentral:rRNA from 1 species